AGAUUUGUGGUUGGUUUAUGUGGAUGUUCUGUUUCAUUUGAUUCUUCUUUACGAGCUAGAUGUCGACUUAACACACCAUAUGAAUUUUUCUGCCAAAGAAGUUUGAAUUAUCUGCAAAAGUAAAACCAGCUUGAAUGUAAAAGUCCAAAACGAUGCAGCGAAACGCAUUAUCAUAUUGACGAUUCAACAGGAAAAUGGCCGUCUCAGUUUCACUCUAUUCACGUUGAAAGAAGUUUGGCCAGCAAAGGAAUAACCAGGAAUUCUGCACAGAUCAAGGACACAAUGGUAAAAGUAGACAUUGAUACACGUAAAUUUCAUCAGAAAGAAUAUACUGAAAUCUACGAUAUUAACUGGUUAGAUUUAUUAUGGAAAGUUGGAGGUUUAUCAGCUAUUUUAAUUGGAAUGUCGGUAAUUACAGUACUAGAGAUAAUCUGGUUAAUAGGAAGAUGUUUCGUUUCAUGUUGUACAGCAAUAAGUAAAAACGAUCCACACCAUCUUAAAAUACAGAUAGAAGCAGAGACUCGGUCAACCUGGACAAACAAUCAUCAACUUACACGUGAGACUAAUAGACAAGAACCACCAGCCCUACCCCGACGACCGUCUCAUCAUCGGAUGCCAAAUAUGCUGCGACCAAUUAUAGAAGAGGUUCCGCCAGUGACAAAUCCGAAUGUUUUAAUAACCAACGAUGAUUACGAUGACAUUGAUCACAUUUAUGCACAGGUCUGGGAUCCGGCGUCUACAGCGCGAUCUAAUAUUCUCCCGGACAACAACGUAAAUGCCGUAACAAACCAACUCUCAAGAAAACGCAGUAAUUACAAUAUCAAAGUUACAAAUAAACCUGUUGCUGAGUGAUACACUUGGGACAGGAGCAAAGCCGAGUGAACUGACAAAGCUGAUAAACAAAGUGCAUCGUGAUGGUAUUCUAUACACAGCUCCCACUAUAAGGCUACUAAAUAUUCGGUCAGUAUCUGUUAAAGGAGCUAAAUCUAUAUUCUUUGGAACAUAAAAUGGACGAAAAUGGGUAUUAAUGUAAUAUGAAUGUACAUAAACUGUUUUUGUCAUUUCUAAUAGUCUAAUUGAAUGGCAGUCGGUCGCGCCUGGUUAGUCUAUUCUACAUCAGAAGUAUGGUUUGGCAUUUCAAUUAAGCUCUGAUGUUUAACCUCGUUCAGCAAGACGCCUCAUCACAAAUCGGGCUCAAGAGCAUAGAUUACCGGCGUGUACUGGUUUUAAAAUUAUUCACUGGUGUCUUAAAUAUUUUGUAUCAGGAGCCCAUAUUUUCACGUUAAGAUAACAACAU